rnacentral:rRNA from 1 species
AACGUAGGUGGCAAGCGUUAUCCGGAAUUACUGGGCGUAAAGGGUGUGCAGGCGGGGUGGCAAGUGGGGGAUGAAAUAUCCCAGCUUAACUGGGAGGGGUUAUGCCAGACUGCUACUCUAGAGGACGAGAGAGGGGAGUGGAAUUCCGGGUGUAGUGGUGAAAUGCGUAGAGAUCCGGAGGAACCCCAGAGGCGAAGGCGACGCCCUGGCUCGUACCUGACGCUCAGCCACGAAAGCAUGGGGAGCGAACGGG